UUGCCACCCACUGCCUCAUUUAUCUCACUGAGGCGGAGAUGACAUCACACUAAAAAUCCUUUUCCCUUCUGGGUCUGGCUGGACCUCUGGGCUCACAGGUCUUGAUCUGCACUCCCAAAUCUGACUCACGCUGAAGAGGACAUCAAGAGGCAGAGAACACCAUCAAGCCAAGGCAACUCACUCUAGGAUCUAAAGGAGAUGUCAGAGAGACCUGGGUCCUGAUGCACAGCGAGGAUUCUUUUUUUUUUUUAAUUAUUAUUUUUUUUAAAGAUUUUAUUUUUCCUUUUUUCUCCCCAAAACCCCCCCGGUACAUAGUUGUAUAUUCUUCGUUGUGGGUCCUUCUAGUUGUGGCAUGUGGGACGCUGCCUCAGCGUGGUUUGAUGAGCAGUGCACUUCCUGUUAUGCGCUAGGGCAGGGACGCAGAGCAGAUGGGCAUACCUGCUUUCUGCUCUGGAGGGAGGCGCUACCUCACACAUCUCGAGGCUGUCUGCUACUUGAAGAUCCUUGAAAAGGCAAUCUGGGCAAAAGGGCAGCCGGCACCUCGCUCCGAGGACUGCAGAAACUCGAGACUCAUGGGCAAGUGUCCCCAGACGCAGCCGCGUGGAGGCUGGUGUGCUCAGCCUCUGCAGUUGGACUGAAGGGAUCCGCGUCCACUGGAAGCCUUCACCUGCAAGGGAAGAAGCGUGGUGUGACCUCACCACCCGGAGGAGCACAGAACUGGGCCGCCCUGCCACGACCAUGCUGGCCACUCUUUCCACCAUGGCCUAUCCCUGACUGUACCCCACAGUGCUCACACCAAAGGACACAACCUAUUUCCCUCCAACCCAAACUUCCCACCCGCUUCUAGAUUCCCCUCUGUCUGGCAUCCUGGAAACGAGCACACACGGUAGGGCUGGAGAGGCCUGGCGUCCAAGCCCGACCUGCUAGGUUCCAGCUGGGCAACCCUGGACACAGAAUUCUGACUGUGGGCUUUUGUACUAGACCUAAGACCACCUCAUCGUGGUCCUCAAAGAUUUAAACUGGGUGAAGAACUACGAAGUUCGGCACAAAACAAGAGUCCAAGCAACAAGAGAGCCCUCCUCUCCCAGGAGGUCUUCCCUUGAGAUCAGUGCACUGACCCUGCCCUUGGUCAGCUCCUGGGGCAUUCAGCUCUGCUGCAGAAUUUAGCCUCUGGUUCUCUUUGGUUUGCCUGUUGUCAACACCCUGUACCCUCCAGGCAGGGCUCACCCCUGUAACUCCUUUCUACUCUUUAUUCCCUGAUGCUGGUCCAACUUUACCUUUACCACUCCCCCUGAGCUUUAUUUUCAAAUUUUGUACAGGUUUUGUUUUAAGAAUAUAAUAAAAUUCGCAAUGAGCCUGACACAUAGAAAACACCCAAAGUCCAAAACAACUUUUGCAGAGAUGUGGAUGUUCUAUAUUCUGCACAGUCCAGUACAGUAGCCAUUUGCCACAUGACUACUAAGCAUCUGAAAUGUGGGUAGUAUGAAUGAAAAACUGAAUUAAAAUUUUUUUUUUAAAGAUUGGCACCUGGGCUAACAACUGUUGCCAAUCUUUUUUUUUUUUCCCUUCUGCUUUAUCUCCCCAAACCUCCCCCCUCCCUCCCGUACGUAGUUAUAUAUCUUAGCUGCAGGUCCUUCUAGCUGUGGCAUAUGGGCCGCCGCCUCAACGUGGCCUGACGAGCGGUGCCAUGUCCGCGCCCAGGAUCCGAACCCUGGGCCGCCGCAGCCCAGCGUGCGAACUUAACCACUCGGCCACGGAGCCGGCCCCUGAGUUUUAAAAUUUAAGUUCAAGUUAACCAUAUGCUGCAAGUGGUUACCACAUCAGACAGUACAGAUCUAUACAAUGCCUAGCACACCAGAUAGGGAAGGGAGCAGGCGAUUGUCUGAAAUUUCUAUAACCUUGCUCUGGAUGGAGCAGGGCAAGGCCUCAAACCGUUUCAAAAUGUUCUCGCAAGCACUGUAGGAAUGCACAGGGUCACCCCAGACCCAAGCACGCUGGAGGCUUGCAGCCCACACUCAUUUAAGCCCCUCAAGCCCGGGGAGCUGAGAAGAGAGAUCAUGGGGUUAAACUGGGCCUACUUGGGUUUAUU
rnacentral:lncRNA from 1 species